ensembl:snoRNA SNORA61 small nucleolar RNA, H/ACA box 61
ACCCUCCAGUUCCCUUUCCCAUCAGAUCUGAACACCGGUCUUGGUGGUCGUAAAAGGAGGAAAAGUAAUACUGAAGUUGGCCUCACAGUGUUUAUAGUCUGCCGUAUAUAUAGCAUGUGGGCUCGUUUCACACAGAG